GAUGAACGCUGGCGGCGUGCCUAACACAUGCAAGUCGAGCGAUUUACUUCGGUAAAGAGCGGCGGACGGGUGAGUAACGCGUGGGUAACCUGCCCUGUACACACGGAUAACAUACUGAAAGGUAUGCUAAUACGGGAUAACAUAAGAGAGUCGCAUGGCUUUCUUAUCAAAGCUUUUGCGGUACAGGAUGGACCCGCGUCUGAUUAGCUAGUUGGUAAGGUAACGGCUUACCAAGGCGACGACCAGUAGCCGACCUGAGAGGGUGAUCGGCCACAUUGGAACUGAGACACGGUCCAAACUCCUACGGGAGGCAGCAGUGGGGAAUAUUGCACAAUGGGCGAAAGCUUGAUGCAGCAACGCCGCGUGAGCGAUGAAGGCCUUCGGGUCGUAAAGCUCUGUCCUCAAGGAAGAUAAUGACGGUACUUGAGGAGGAAGCCCCGGCUAACUACGUGCCAGCAGCCGCCGUAA
rnacentral:rRNA from 1 species